rnacentral:snRNA from 1 species
GUCUUUUUAGAGACAUCCAGUAAAAUUGGAACAAUACAGUGAAGAUUAGCAUGGCCCCUGCACAAGGAUGGCACGCACAAAUUGAGGAAUAUUU